AGAGUUUGAUCCUGGCUCAGGAUGAACGCUAGCGACAGGCUUAACACAUGCAAGUCGAGGGGCAGCACAGGUAGCAAUACCGGGUGGCGACCGGCGCACGGGUGAGUAACGCGUAUGCAACUUACCUAUCAGAGGGGGAUAACCCGGCGAAAGUCGGACUAAUACCGCAUGAAGCAGGGGCCCCGCAUGGGGAUAUUUGCUAAAGAUUCAUCGCUGAUAGAUAGGCAUGCGUUCCAUUAGGCAGUUGGCGGGGUAACGGCCCACCAAACCGACGAUGGAUAGGGGUUCUGAGAGGAAGGUCCCCCACAUUGGUACUGAGACACGGACCAAACUCCUACGGGAGGCAGCAGUGAGGAAUAUUGGUCAAUGGGCGUAAGCCUGAACCAGCCAAGUCGCGUGAGGGAUGAAGGUUCUAUGGAUCGUAAACCUCUUUUAUAAGGGAAUAAAGUGCGGGACGUGUCCCGUUUUGUAUGUACCUUAUGAAUAAGGAUCGGCUAACUCCGUGCCAGCAGCCGCGGUAAUACGGAGGAUCCGAGCGUUAUCCGGAUUUAUUGGGUUUAAAGGGUGCGUAGGCGGCCUUUUAAGUCAGCGGUGAAAGUCUGUGGCUCAACCAUAGAAUUGCCGUUGAAACUGGGGGGCUUGAGUAUGUUUGAGGCAGGCGGAAUGCGUGGUGUAGCGGUGAAAUGCAUAGAUAUCACGCAGAACCCCGAUUGCGAAGGCAGCCUGCCAAGCCAUUACUGACGCUGAUGCACGAAAGCGUGGGGAUCAAACAGGAUUAGAUACCCUGGUAGUCCACGCAGUAAACGAUGAUCACUAGCUGUUUGCGAUACACUGUAAGCGGCACAGCGAAAGCGUUAAGUGAUCCACCUGGGGAGUACGCCGGCAACGGUGAAACUCAAAGGAAUUGACGGGGGCCC
rnacentral:rRNA from 1 species